rnacentral:tmRNA from 1 species
GGGGGCGCAACGGCUUCGACGGAGGCAAUGAAGCAAGGGCUGCAGGCCGAGGUGCCGCGAGGCCUCGUUAAACACGCGGCAAAAUAAUAGUUGCCAACGACUACGAUUACGCCCUGGCUGCAUAGACCAGCCAGCGCUCUCACGGCUGAUGCCUGAUAGGCUAGUGAGAGCGACGACCUUAUCAGGCUCGCCAGGUAUGUUCGCCUUCCGGCAUACCGGUUAAAACCUGAGGAAGGCUCGGUGCAAAGGUCCCGGAUCAGGGGGUACUUUUGCACUCAAUACAAUACCUGAUCUAAGCCUGUAGACGCUCUUGUGGAGUGUCUUCGGACGCGGGUUCGACUCCCGCCGCCUCCACCA